CAUUAUUGUAACAACUGGGAGGACGCGAGAGGGCUGUCGCUGACCCUUUAAACCGGGGGUCGUGCACGCCCGAAGUGUCAUCCUCACACAAUCCACCUCACCUUUGUGCACCACCGCGUGGGUUCCCUCCGGAAAAGGGGCUUGCGUUUUCCACAUGAACCCAGUGUAGAAUGUCUUUUUGCUUUUUAUUGCAAUCAAUACAACUUUCAACAACGGAUCUCUUGGCUCUCGCAUCGAUGAAGAACGCAGCGAAAUGCGAUAUGUAAUGUGAAUUGCAGAAUUCAGUGAAUCAUCGAAUCUUUGAACGCACCUUGCGCCCCUUGGCAUUCCGAGGGGCACACCCGUUUGAGUGUCGUGAAAUCCUCAACCUUCUUUGUUUCUUUGAACUGAGAAGGCUUGGAAUUUGGAGGCUUAUGCUGGCCUCUUUCUUGAAGCCAGCUCCUCUUAAAUGGAUUAGCAGGUUCUGCUUAGCCAGAUCCCUUGACGUGAUAAGCCAUUUCUAUGUCCUGGGUUGGGCUCUGUCUCUUGCUUACAAUCGUCUCUUUCGAGACUACACGAAUACCCCCUUGACCUCAAAUCGGGUGAGACUACCCGCUGAACUUAAGCAUAUCAAUAAGCGGAGGAAAAGAAACUAACAAGGAUUCCCCUAGUAACUGCGAGUGAAGCGGGAAAAGCUCAAAUUUAAAAUCUGGUGGUCUUUGGCCAUCCGAGUUGUAAUUUAGAGAAGUGUCUUUCGCGUCGGACCGUGCACAAGUCUCCUGGAAUGGAGCGUCAUAGAGGGUGAGAAUCCCGUCUUUGGCAUGGACUCCUGAUGC
rnacentral:rRNA from 1 species